AUUCUCUAAUCUUUUAGUGGGCCGGCCCAAGGUAUUGUCCAGGCAAUACUGGGCCCUCCGCCCCUACGUGCACCGGCGGCCGAGGUGCCCACAGCGGGUUGAGCGCGCUAGGCAGAGCGAGAUCUGUGGCAACGCUGAGGAAGCGUGACGCGCGAGUGCAGGGGCCUGGCAGAGCGGGGCGAGCAAGCGCUGCGACGGCGUUGGAUGGAGGCCACCGUUGAUGGAGGGCGGCGUGGGAGAGAGUCUGUGCGGCGGCCUGGGAGAGGAGUCUGCGCUUGGACCGUGUACAGCAAACCCAAAAUCACGUCGCCUUGUUCCCAUUCUCACGUACAGGCGCACGGAGAAGACAAGCUCCAUCGAUGGCUGCGCACGGCAGCGACCCCGGCGUCGAAGGAGAGCGACCAGAGACCUUCGUCGUGGGAGAUAGCGGCGGCGGGCGUGGAGGGUUCGCGGCACAGUCCUCUCGGGUCUCGGCGAGUAGCAGCGCCCUUCCGUUCAAGCUUCCUCGUGCCGACACCUAGCAGUCACGGCCGAGGCAUUGCACCACAGGUUCCGGCGAUGUCGUCCAGAGCCGCAUCUCCGACGGGUGAAGUCUCCCUCGCGCCGGCGAUGACCGCAGACGCAGGGACCUGUCGAUCCCCAUCUUCGGCUGGUACGCAUGUGAUCCCCUUCACGGCUUCAUCGGCGAACAGGCCUUCAGCGAUUCCAAUUACCUUACUAGCUUGUCUGGCUGAAGUCCCUGAUAGCAUAUUCAUGGCCAAUCACUGCAUACCAAGGGCAUGAUCGUAGGUGUAUUAGAAUAGAUUUUUCCAGUUAGAGACGUGUAAUAAUCUCCAUGGUGUGGUCCUAUAUUUUCCAUAGAGUCGUAUAUUUUCCAUUGCAGGAUUUUUCUUUUCUUGAUCCGUGACUGAUACGUGACCUUUGCAUAUUUCUGUACUUGUCUGUUCAUGCUGUGCAAAAAAAAUGUCUGAAAAGUAA